CGGAGAGUCCGCGGCUCCCGUACAGAGAAUCUGAGGAGCCAAACAGCGGCUGAAUUAGACCAUGAAAUUACAGAUAACAUUUAAAAAUAAUCUCAGCAUAAUGAUUACAGCGAGGCCACUGAGACAUUUCUUAAGGCUCUGAAAUUAUCCACACUAUUUAUUGACUUCUUCCACACUCAGCGAUAAGAAUAUGUAAUCAGUUUUUCUGGUAAUUUGUUGUUGUAUCAGGAGGAAGAGUCGAGGAGGGGCGAGUGUUUGUGACGCCGGACAGACGGGCUGUGAGGACUGGAAGGGCAUCAAGAGGACCGGCUGAUCAUUUAUCAUCAGCGCGGGGGGAAAUUACUUCACUUACUCGGAAAGAGAAGGAGAGAGAGGGGAGAAAUUUGUCAAACGAUAAAGAAAUGCAACCCCAGCCUCUCUGUGACCCAUCAUGAG
ensembl:lncRNA